GUUCUCUGGUUUUAUUAUAGCCAAAGGAUCAACUCAUACUUUGUGGUAGCAGCUUAAAAUUGUUUUGAAGUAAAUUGGUUUUUUGUCUAGAAAACUUUCAUUAAAGUCAUUGAAUUACUAAUUGUACCAUAAAAUCUAUACUAGUAUUGAACAUAUUAGUGGCACAUUGUUAAUUGCACUUUUUCAUUUCUUAAUAAUUGGGUGAGAUUAUCUAUUUUUAAGAAAAUGAUCUAAUUAUUGAAAAAAAAUUGAUAAUUUGCACAUACUUUAUGAUGUAUAAACUAUGAUAACAUAACAUUGUCACCUUAAUAUUUCAUGUUUAACUCAUGCUUUUUCAAAACAUUCGUUAGAUCCUUUCAUUAAUAAGUCAGUAAACCAAUUAAAAUAAGUAGAAAGAAAGAUUCAAGACCUAUGAGGAUCCUAAUAGGUAAAUCUUUGUUCUUCUCUUUGUGCCCCUUUUAGUUUUUUUAGCAUGGUAACAUCAAUAUGGAAGCCAAAGAUUUUGAAAACUUGAGACAGUAACCUGCCUGUUACAACUCCAAAACAAUCUGGGAUGUUUUUACUUUUUAAUUUUGUUUGUUUGGCUGUGUUUUGAAGUUGUUGUUUUUUUUGUUGUUGUUCUAUGAUUCUUG
rnacentral:lncRNA from 1 species